rnacentral:pre_miRNA from 7 species
CUGGGGGCUCCUCCAUGUCUCCCAGCCCAAGGUGCAGUGCUGCAUCUCUGGUCAAUUGGGAGUCUGAGAUGAAGCACUGUAGCUCGGGAAGGGAGGAACUGUGCCCUGGGACCCC